CCCUUAGAUGUUCUGGGCCGCACGCGCGCUACACUGUUCGACGCAGCGAGUCUUAACCUUGACCGAAAGGUUUGGGUAAUCUUCAGCAAAGUCGAACGUGAUGGGGAUCGAUCAUUGCAAUUAUUGAUCGUGAACGAGGAAUUCCUAGUAAGUGCAAGUCAUCAGCUUGCGCUGAUUACGUCCCUGCCCUUUGUACACGCCGCCCGUCGCUACUACCGAUUGAAUGGUUUAGUGAGAUCUCUGGAUUGACGCUGGCUAGGGGGCGACCCUUGGCCAGACUGUUGAGAAACUGCUCAAACUUGAUCAUUUAGAGGAAGUAAAAGUCGUAACA
rnacentral:rRNA from 1 species